UCCUACUGACACAGCAAGGUUAGGACUCUCCUGACGGACUCGAAUCACAUUAUGUCGUGGCACCACACUAAUUCCACCUUCCGCAACGUUCUACAGAAAGCUCUUUCAAGGGUUUCAUCUGAACUUCAAAAAAAACACAAGUCAACAGCUCACCAGG